UACAGAGGGUGCAAGCGUUAAUCGGAAUUACUGGGCGUAAAGCGUGCGUAGACGGUUACAUAAGUCGGGUGUGAAAGCCCCGGGCUCAACCUGGGAAUUGCAUUCGAGACUGCGUAGCUAGGGUGCGGAAGAGGGAAGCGGAAUUUCCGGUGUAGCGGUGAAAUGCGUAGAUAUCGGAAGGAACACCAGUGGCGAAAGCGGCUCCUGGUCCAGCACCGACGUUCAGGCACGAAAGCGUGGGAGCAA
rnacentral:rRNA from 1 species